GUCGGGGUUUGCUCCCGCUAUCCGCACAAUGAUGGUGUAGCCAUCUCCAAACCUGAAAGCAAAAUGGGAAAUACAGGAGGAAAUAUAGCAACUUAACUGAAAAUGAACCUAGACCCCAUCAAAGCAGACCAACGCGAAUAGACACACUGCUAUAACGAGCACUACAUGCCUGUGAGAUGUCAGCACCACCGAUCUGCCCUCCUUGAUGACACUCAGAGCACAAUUCCAAAGGAAACGUCGUGCUUUGGGAUCCAUUCCUGUGGUUGGCUCAUCCUGCAGAUGACAUUUGUUAAUCAUGUUAUGUAGUAGCCCAGUACUGAUACACAUUGUAAUCCUGUGGGAAGUAACUGAAUGGAGAAGAGGAAAAUGGCAGGGAAGCCUUUUUCUUUUCUUUUUAAAAUUUAAAAGCAUGAUACUUUCCCCCGUAAUUGAAGUUGGGGGGAAAAAUGUUAGAUCUGCUCUAUAAAUGGUCCCAAACUGGGGAAAAAAUGUUGUGAAGAUUGUUGUCCUUCCUCCUCUCAGAUUAUGAAAAUCUGAAAUUUCACCAAAUUUCGAAAUAUCAAGGACACUUAGCUACUGAAACCAGCUAAGGCAGAAUGGGUAACCCUUGCUCUUCAUCUGUCAUGGGUUUAGGUAAUCCUAGAUCACAUACUGUAUUCACUCAAAUAUAAGAUGAUCCCCUUAUAAUUAAAUUCUCUACCUAGAAAAUUGAUACAUUUGUCAUAAUUUUCCAGGUAUAGAAUCUAACUAUUGGACGUUUGCCUUCAAUUUGUCUCACUCCCACUGCUAUCGGAGGGAAAAAAAAUAUGGGGGGUCAGGUAGCUCCCUUGUCUGCUACCCCACCCCACUGCAACCCCUUCCCCCUCUCUUUACUGUCAGACUCUGCUGUUACCGAGCACAUAGAAGUGUGGGGCAAAUUUGAAAACAGUGACCUUGACAUAAACAUACCUGUAGUAAUUUGCAUAUAUAUAUAUGUGUGUGUGUGUGUGUGUGUGUGUGUGUGUGUGUGUGUGUGUGUAUAUAUAUAUAUAUAAAAUAUAUAUAUAAAUAUAUAUAAAUUGCAUAUAUGCAAAUUACUAGUUAUCCACAGACUUAGUUCAGAUGCAUUUUACCUUUUUUUUAAACUGCUGCAAGUUUUAGCACAGCUACUCCAUAAACACACUUUUAAGCAACAAUUUUUUUUUUUUUUACCUAUUUAGAUACUUUUUUUUUUUAAUUUGUAUCCGAGGCCAAAUUAAUCAAAGCUAAUUCCAAAUCCAAGAGUCCAGAACUGUAAGUGGCCUUACUACUGGCAAACAUCCUCCAUCUGCACCUAGGGCUUCAGAUGUUUCCAAAACCUUUGGCAGGCAUCCUACUUGCAGGCCCAAGCCCUGGGGCUUAGGAUUCAGAUGCCCCUAAGUUUUGCUUGCCCUUAGCCAUAAGGCCCUUGGAGCAAGCAAGGGAGGAGGCUCCCAUUUCCACAAACUGGGCUUAAAGCCACUGCAGCUCAGUGGGUACUGAACCAUGGCAGAAGAGCAGUUCUCCUGCAAAGCAGUUCAGGAAAACUGCCCUCUUGGACACAGAUGCAUGGUAUUUCCCCUGCCAGGUUAAGAAGCUGUUACGCUUGAUCUGAGCCUUAUAUACAGUACAGGCUAUGCUAGAUAUUAGUCCAAAGCCAAAAGACUCAUGAUUUACCAUUUAGUUCACUGGGCUGGACCAACAGCAUUUCAAGCCAUAGUGACCUCACAGCUCAGAACUGCUCAGUAUGUGUGUGCUCCAGAUACUGCCCCUUCUCCCCCAACAAAGGUCCAUGUGCUAAUUAGCCCCCACUCAUGACUGGAACUGGUGGUUUUUGUCAUGAGUCCUGGGAUCUUCCAAACAUGUGUAUGUAGAUGAGACACCCGGCAACCUCAUUUGGCUCUACCUUAUGGGGGGGCUGGGCCACGCUAAUUAUAUGUGACAGGUUGAGAGAGGGGACAACAGAGAGAUUCCAGAUGAACUGUCUGAGGCCCCAUUUGGUGAUGUUUGUCAGACAUUUAAGGCUGGUGAAGAAACAGGAAUGCUUGGAAAUGGGAAAGAAAGAUGCAGCUCAGCUGUGGAAGUGAAGAGGAAGUAAAAAUGUAUUCGAAGUAGUGGUCCACUAUAACUUGAAAAGGAGCUAGGGCUGAGCACAACAGGCACUACCCUAUAUCUAGGCUUGGCAAAAUUCAAUUUUUAUUCUUUAAUCAUAGUAUCAUAGUACUUGGGGUUGAAAGGGACCUAAACAGAUCAUCAGGUCCAACCCCCUACCCUGGGCAGAAACAGGUGCUGGGAUCAUAUCACCCCAGCCAAAUAUCUGUCCAGCCUCCUCUUGAAGACCCCCAAGGUAGGGGAGAGCACCGCCUCACUUGGGAGUCCAUUCCAGAGCCUGGCAGCCCUGACUGUAAAGUAAUGUCUCCUGAUGUCCAGCCUGAACCUUCUCGCUAACAAUUUGUGGCCAUUAUGCCUAGUAACCCCGGGUGGUGCCCAGGGUAACAGAGCCUUCCCCCAUUCUCGCUGGUCCCCCCUGGUGAGUAUGUAAACAGCCACCAGAUCCCCUCUCAGCCUUCUCUUGUGGAGGCUGAAUAGGUGCAGGCCCUUUAGCCUCUCUUCGUAGGGCCUACCCUGCUGCCCCUUGACCAUGCGAGUGGCCCUCCUCUGGACCAUCUCAAUGCUAGCCAUAUCCCUCUUGAAGUGCGGCGCCCAGAACUGGACACAGUACUCCAACUGUGGCCUGACCAGUGCCGCAGAGGGUAAGGAUCACCCCCCUGGACCUGCUUGUGAUGUAUCUGUAGAUGCACGACAAGGUGUAGUUAGCCUUACUGACCACUUCCUCUCAUUGGCUGCUCAUGUUCGUCCUGGAGUCAACAAUGACUCCAAGAUCCCUUUCUGCCACCAUGUUGACAAGAAGGGUGUUCCCCAGCCUGCAGGUGUGUUGCUGGUUCCUUCUCCCUAGAUGCAGCACCUUGCACUUGACUGUGUUGAAUUCCAUCCUAUUCUCAUUUGCCCAUCUCUGUCUCCCUGUCUAGAUCUAGUUGGAUUCUGUCCCUCCCCUCCAGCAUGCCCACCUCGCCCCACAACUUGGUGUCGUCAGUGAAUUUGGACAGCGUGCAUUCCACCCCCACAUCCAGAUCACUGAUAAAGAUGUUGAACAGUACAGUAAUACUUUUAUUUUGAUUUUUAUUUAUCUAAAUUUUCUGGAUCGUGCAAAAUAAGGGUUGUGGGGGGAUAUGCAUGCGCGCAUAUAUACACAUACACACAUGCCCACUUCCUCCUCCAGUCUAGCACGCAGCAGGCAUGGGGGAAGUUGCUGUGCUACUGGGAUGUCAGCCUGCUGCCUGGACCCUGUCCACAGCACCAUAGAGCUCAGUGCCCACUUUCCUUUAUCCUGUGGUGUUUGCUGCUCCCCUGCCCUGGCUUCCCCCUGCUCCCUGGCAAGGAAACCUGCCCCCUACAGCCAGCAGCUUGCUCUGCUCAUUGGCUCCCACCUGAGUUUGCAAGGAAGGAACUCACUGGCUAGCACCCUGCAGCUGGGGAGGCAGGGGCAGGGACAAACACACAGAAACACACAGUGCACAGCCCAUGCCCCUGCCUUUAGUUAGUGCUCAGCAGGAGCCUGCCCAGGCACUAAGGCAGGCACCAGCCUAUUCUUAUGUCCCCUUUCAAUAAAUUGUGAUUAUUGAUGGAAAUAUGUUUUCGUUGAUCUGUGAGCAUGAGGUGAAAUCGAUAUUUGUUGACGUUUAUGGAUAAAAACUGAAUCCGGCCAAGCCCACACAGAUCUUAAUCAGAUGGCCUGCACUAAUUUAUCAUUGUGGUAGGUCCUCAUCAGUAUGUUUUCCCAAUGUGGGUCAUGUGUUUUAUAGUCAUGGUCAGUGUUGGCUGUAUUUAAUCAACUUCAAAGUUGGUUUCCAUUACUGAGCACAUGGUGCUAUUGGCAGCAGUUUAGUGAUAGCCAAUGUAUGCAAUGCGGUUUCCUUGUUUGUGAAUGUAAGAUGAGGAGCUUUUUACCCCUGUGCUGACUAGGGGGGAAAACCUCAUCUUAUAUUUGAGUAAACAGCAUAUUAUGGUUUUUUAUUGAAGGAAUCAUAGCAAGAAUGGUUAAAAUAUUGCUUGGAGGAAUGUCUUAAGUUUUUCUGCAACUGUUAACACAGAUACAGAGGGUUGGAUCCUGUUGUCCCGUGGACAGAACUCCCAGGGACGAUAUUGGAGUUUCAGGUGCUGGUCCAAGUUAUUUGUGAGUCUAUACCUGCAGUUCCACUGCCAUAGUAGCUGACUGUUUUGGCAAAAUAUUCUCUAGACCAAAUUCUCAGGCACAGAGGCCCAAAGUUUGUGCCAUAUCUUGCCCUGUAUUUUCAACUGUAACUGUAUUUCUAAUAAGCUCAUUUGUACCUGUAAAUUGGGCUUUUUCACACACAAGUGGCUAGUGCUGCAUCUGGAUUUGUAUUUUUUGCCAAAUGGCAGAGCUACGUUGACUUCAAUGGGCACUGGAUUGAGAUCUUGCUGUUGUGAGUGAAAGGAAGGGGUGAUACAGAAAUGGUUGCACUCACCAGGAAUACCACCGGAGGCCCUCCAAUCAGGGCAAUGGCCGUAGACAGCUUGCGCCGGUUCCCUCCACUGUAAUUCCCAGCAUAUUUUUCUCCAUAUUUUACAAGACCCAGUUUACGAACUGCCCAGUCCCCGACCUGCAGGAGAGAGGGCAGUGUGACCCGACAUGAGGACAGCAAGGGCUCCUCGGCAGCAAAGGGAUGCAAUUUUCCUGACUCUGGUGGGUCCUGCCCUGCUGAGUCUACCAAUUGGAAACACCACCUGUGCCAGUCAGUGCCAACUGCCAGCAUUGCAACUGUGGACUCUCAGACAGGGUACUGGAUCAUGGGAUAUAGCACAGCUCAUUCCCCAUUGAAGGCAGGAGACAUGCUUGCUCCUUGCUCAGGAAAGGAGAAAGGCUAUUUGCUCCUCUUACACCCAAAGGUACCAGUGCUGGCAGCACAUCCAAGGCUGGGCACCACUGUGCAGGAAGGUAAAGAAUCUUUGAGCCAGUUAUGCAGCAUAGUCAUUGCAUAACACUUGACAUACAUUCACUUUGUGGCCCCAGUAGAUAGGUUGAAAGGAAAACCACCCAAUAUUGCUCAGGGUCUUACACAAUGCCACUGUCAAGUUGGGGCUUUCAAAAGACUGGGGAAGAACUUCAGCUGGCAUGAACUAGCACAAUGCAUUUUACAUCAGAUUUGGCCCAAAGCCCCUAAGUGGCCUUGUCCAAAAUGUUCAUUACAUGUGCUGGGUCCACAUUUCACCCACCAGCUCAACCCAUGGCCAUGCUUACCUUGCAAACCUCUUUCUCCGGAACGCCUCUUAAGAGUGCAAAUAACUCCAGAUGCUCUCUUCCUGUCAGCAGCUCGCUAAUAGCAUCAAACUGAGGGCAGUAGCCCAUGUUCUGAUGGACUUCUUGGAUCUUAGACAGGAUGCUGCAAGGCAAGACAAUAUCUCAUUAGCCUUCUGCACUCAUCCAUUGCCAUUUCAGGUACAGGAGACAGGAAAGGAAUGAGACAAAUGAGUGAUUUUUGAGGUGUAGGACUCUAACUACUGAGGUGAACAUGUCACUGAAUCCUCAAAGCAAUUUUGGACUAAGUGAAUUCAUUCUGACACAUGACUUAAGUGUGAUGGGAACCAUUUUCAUAUACACCCAAGUGAUUUAGGAGCAUAAGUCUUGUUUUCAAAAGGGGCACAAUACAGUGUUGAACAUUUCAAUACAUUUUAACAAUGCAGUUUUGAACUAUGACUCACAUUCAGCAAAACACUUAAGGCACAUGCUUAAAGCUAAGCAAAAAGGGUGUCAAAAAUUUUAACCCCGGUGUAAGGGGUGAGACUGCAGCACAGCUGGUGGAGACAAACAUCAGGAAUUUUCUUCGCAUACAGAAGAGGGAAGUAUCAAGACUUGCAGGGUCUUCCUCUAACCUGUUUCCCUUGAGAAAAGCUUCUCCCCCCGUCACAUCCGUGUCUCCAGUUAGCAUCUUGAAAGUUGAUGACUUGCCAGCACCGUUCACUCCCAGGAGCCCAAAGCACUGGAAACAUUAAAAGAUUGGCUGAGCACAGGCAGAUGGCAGGGUGUUGUGUGAUCUGCAGGAUCUUUAUAAAUGAAACUGAUGCAUGAGAUGGGAGGAGGCCACCCUGGCUGGCUUCAGAGUCAGGGAGGAACAAAUGUCAUUGUAGCUGUGAAUGCAAUAAAUUGGAUUUGAACUUCA